rnacentral:rRNA from 1 species
GGCAUGGUUGUCGUCAGCUCGUGUCGUGAGAUGUUGGGUUAAGUCCCGCAACGAGCGCAACCCUCGACCUUAGUUGCCAGCAUUCAGUUGGGCACUCUAAGGUGACUGCCGGCUAAAAGUCGGAGGAAGGUGGGGAUGACGUCAAAUCAUCAUGCCCCUUAUGACCUGGGCUACACACGUGCUACAAUGGGCGGUACAAAGGGUCGCGAACCCGCGAGGGGGAGCCAAUCCCAAAAAGCCGCUCUCAGUUCGGAUUGCAGGCUGCAACUCGCCUGCAUGAAGCCGGAAUCGCUAGUAAUCGCGGAUCAGCAUGCCCGCGGUCGAAUACGUUCCCGGGCCUU